rnacentral:rRNA from 1 species
CCUACGGGUGGCUGCAGUGAGGAAUAUUGGUCAAUGGCCGUAAGGCUGAACCAGCCACGUCGCGUGAAGGAAGAAGGAUCUAUGGUUUGUAAACUUCUUUUAUAGGGGAAUAAAGGUAUCCACGUGUGGAUAUUUGCAUGUACCCUAUGAAUAAGCAUCGGCUAACUCCGUGCCAGCAGCCGCGGUAAUACGGAGGAUACGAGCGUUAUCCGGAUUUAUUGGGUUUAACGGGUGCGUAGGUUGUUUUUUAAGUCAGCGGUGAAAGUUUGUGGCUCAACCAUAAAAUUGCCGUUGAAACUGGAAAACUUGAGUGUGUUUGAGGUAGGCGGAAUUCGAGGUGUAGCGGUGAAAUGCAUAGAUAUCACGCAGAACACCGAUGGCGAAGGCGGCUUACUAGGCCAUAACUGACACUGAAGCACGAAAGCGUGGGGAUCAAACAGGAUUAGAUACCCGGGUAGUC